CUACCCCGUGCCCAUCGCCCCAACCCCCUGCACUAUGUGUACUAUUCGUAAUGCCCCCUUUUCCCCUUAUCUCCCGCUUCCAACCCAUCCUCCCCAGGCCCUUACCUUUGGUAACUGUUGGUAGCCUUCUUGGGUUCUGAUUCAGUUUUUUCUUUGUUCUUAUACUCGACAUAUGAGUGAAAUCACUUGAUACUUGCCUUUCUCCGCCUGGCUUAUUUCACUGAGCAUAAUACCCUCUAGCUCCAUCCGUGUUGUUGUGAAUGGUAGGAUUUGUUUUCUCCUUAUGGCUGACUAAUAUUACAUUGUAUAUAUGUACCACAUCUUCUUUAUCCCUUCAUCUAGUGAUGGACACUGAGGUUGCUUCCAUAUCUUGGCUAUUGUAAAUAAUGCUGCGAUAAACAUAGGGGUGCAUAUGUCUUUUUUGGGUCUGUGAUUCUGUUUUGUUAGGAUAAGUUUCUAAGAGUGGAACUCCUGGAUCAAAUGCUAUCUCUAUUUUGAGUUUUUAGUUGAGCGGACGUGGUCCUGAACAUUUCAACACAUGGACCAGCGAUGACUGGCCCGUCUGGCACCCUGGGGAGAAGGCUUGAAAGCUGGCCUCCUGCGUGUCCCUGGAGUAAUAGCAGAGUUGGCCUCCAGAGAUCGCGGUAGUGUACCCAAUACGUCCCGGAGAGGUCUGGUAGCCAUUAACAGAGGAGCGACUGGCUUCUGUGUAUCACGCCUUGCUGGCUAUGGAGCCCAUCACCGGAACAGCCCCGACCAAGGGGUCAUACCUGCAUGUGUCUUCGGCCUGUGGCUGGGAGCGGAGUCAGCGUCUGGAAGGGUGACUUCCUAAGUCGACACAACGAGGUGCUCUGUCUACACCCGAGGAUCCAGACUUCCCUUCUUUCGGGCCGGUGCAACCAGGCCUCCGGGGUCCCGGGAGCGCUCACACAGCAAGCAGGCUGCGGUCUCGCCUCCACACCGGGAGCUCUGGGUCAAACGCUUGGAUCUGGAAGGCAGGUGGCUCUGGCCUCAGGUGGCCCCUCCUUCCUCGCCCAGCCUCCAGAUCCCACGAUCCCGUGUUCCCCCCACUGCCGUCCGGCACCCCCGCCCCCAGAUCCCAGCUGCUCACGCACCUCCUCACACUCUUCCCGGGAGACCCAGGCCCUCCAGCCCAUGGACUGGGCGAAUUGGACUCGCCGUUGGUGGAAGAGGAGACGCCGGGCACGGUUGUUCCCGUAGAGGAGCCAAAGGAUGGCCUGCUUGGGGCCCUCGUCGUCCUCCUCCAUGUCGUUGGCCAGGUAGCUGGGGAGAGACAUCGGGCUGCUGGUCAGCAGCAAGAUGGGAAGGAUCCCCAGCCGAGGUCAGCUUCCAAGGAGAGGCCCAGGCUGAUCUUCACAGAGGACCUACGGGAGCCCUACCAGCGCCACACGGGGCCACGCAGUCAUCAAGAAGCCACUGCGGGGCAGGGACCUGAAGGGCACCUCUCACACCUGGAUGCUGAAGACAAAGGCCCUCGGGGAGGCCUGAGGGCGAGCAGGGCAGCUUCCAUGCAAUGUCCCCAUCAUCUGCCCUGUGCCCUUCAAACCGGCUGUAUGUGCACACCCUGCGGCUCCCUGCGGAGGCGUCCAGAGGGCAGGAACUGACUAGCCGGUUUCUGUAGUCAUAGCUUCCCUCCCACGGGGCUCAGGCUGGAGGAUGGGUGCCACGUGCCCUUCUCAAGGCUCUCCUCCCAGCCCUCCUAGUCCCUGGCACGGAAUGCAGUCUACAAGAUUUCACUGGAUGGAUGGAUGGAUGCUUUUAUCUCACAGUCAAAUGCCAUACCGAUCGCCUCAUGGACUCAGUGUAACUUAAACGUUUGCAACGCAAAGUAGCGUGCUGAGGGCUUUGUGAACAUGCGGAUAUUUUGACAAGACCUGCCUGCAGCGGUGUCUGGUCUGAUGGUUUGGAGAAGGGGAGGGGGGUGACAGGAAGUAACUAUUACCCAGAACGUGACAUGGCACUAGGAUUUUAGCUGAUGUGCUACUGGGGGACCACAGUUAGGGGGCCAGGGGAGGCGUGGUAACAGUCGUGCUCUUUGCACCGACUUUAAGGAGUGGUCGUUUUCUUCCAAUAUAUAUGUGUGUGAAAGACACCUACAAGUCAGAAGACACAAUGUGAACACAGAGGGAAGGGAUUUCAGACGGAGCAUUGGAACAAAGCAGUGCAAUAUGAGGACCAUAAGCAAGUGUGAUGCUGACUGUGGGGACGGCUGAGUUCAGACUGAGAAGGCUGGCCCCGGCUUAGAACCCCCUUAGCUGGUGACAUUGCUGAGGAGGGGCGGGGAGCAUUAGAAAUGUGUUCUCGGAGGAUUUGGGGCACGUAAAGCCUUGUAGGAAGCACGGGUGGGGAGUGCCUACGCUCGGUCUGUGUCACAUGACGAGGGCCUGCACUGUGGCGUCUGCCUGGGAACCCAGAGGACGACGGUCCACUCGAUGUGGACUCGGGCAGGUGAGCGGCCGAGGCUUUGGAGGCGGUGCGGUCUCAAGCCUGGCCACGUGGGGACAGCGUGGUGCCCAUUCUGUCCCUCCUCUUAGGAGGGUUUUAUGUGGUCCUUCGUUUGUUCCCGUGUUUUAAGUGGUGUUAGGGUUGUCUGUCUCCACAGACAGCAGUAUAGAAACCGCUCUGUUAUAAUCCUGUCCUUCGCAUACCAAAGUGAACGGUACACGUGGAGUGAGAAAGCAAAUAGAUGCAACGUCAGAGUCCCACACCCCUCCCUCCGCCCUCCCGGAGGACUGAACGUUGACGGCCGGCCACUGACAGCAAUACUCACAGAGCUAUGAAGAAGUGAAUUGUCUGGUACUGCCAGGAGGGGAGGCCAGCCCGGCUGAAAUAUGCUAUGACCAUGGCCAGGAGAUACUGAGGGAGAGGAGAACGCCACAGGAGAGCGGUCACAUCCCAGAAGAAGAAGGACGGAGGGGUGAGGGAGGGGGAGGCUGGGGGCAGACCCCGCCCGUGCGGGGAGAGGGACUUUAGGAUGCUCCUGGAUGGCAGGCUUUGCCGGUGUGACGCCGGGUAUCUAGGACAGCUGCCAUCAGAAGGGUCUUUGAUAAGCUGGCACAAAGGGGAGUCCCCAGGGCUGAGGCGACAAGGGACUUGCCAGUCACAACCAAAGGGGCGGACCCCAGGGGAGUGGGGGUGGGGGCAGGGCUGCCCAUUCACACGCAAGGAGCCUCCAGGCCCCGCAAAGGGCAGUGUGGACAAGGCACCGAGUUGGAGAGGGAGGCGAGACUGUGGGUUCAGAAGGCAUCCCUCCAGCCCCCCAGGGUAGAUGCUGGAGAGAGAACACAUGUCAGUGGACAAAGUUACCUUGUCAGAUACCCUCAGAUUUUUGUCCCAGGCCAGGAAUCUUUUAACAACAGGGUCCCCUGGGAAGAGAGGCACAGGUUAGACGGACAGCCGGAGCAGGGCUGAGCAGUGAGCAGCCGUGCCUCCUGACGGGACCUUUCGGGGUGGGGAGGCCGAGGUGCACUCAUUGGGCCAGAAAGAUGGUGCCAGCCUUCUUUGGUGGCUGGGGGUGCGGGGGCAGGUGUCAGUAGGUGAUGUGCACAGGUCUGAUCCUACAGAAGGUGGUGCUCCAUCACCGUGCAGGAAGGCAUCGUCUCCCUUGACGGUCACAUCAGCGCGCCCAAUGGCCUGUCAGCACCCCGCACGCUGACGGAGGCAUUUAGAUAUGAAAGCCUCAGGGGUGCAGUGGAAGCAGAGCUUUCGUGUGCCGAGUGCAGACUGCUUCUGCCUCUGGCCUAAUCCUCCCUCAUUUCUAAGUGUUCCCGGAGGAGUCCUCUGGGAGCAGAGA